UCUUUUCCAUCACUAAAUCAACGGUAACGAAAGUUAGGGCAAGGAGCGAGAAACCAAUUUUGAAUUAACGUUUCCGCUUCACGAUGAUGGCUUACGAUUCAUGUAUAUUUUCUGCAACGAUUUUGUGUAAGAUUAUCAUGUUCAAGAUCCUGAUAUGCAAUUAACGUUCAUGUUUACAAUGAAUUCCUUAUUUAAUGUUCCAACGGCUUGUGGAGUUCUCAAGCUACUAAUACCACUUUAAAACAUGAUUCUAAAAGAACAAGAAUUAAACAAAUAUGCAAGCAUGUAAGAGUCAUGCAAUCCUACUAAUUCUUGCAUACUGAAGAGAUCGUUAAUCACUCUUUUAACAAAUCCUGCUGGCAUUUGAAGGUGAGCACUACAUUGAAGCUUAUUUUACUUGACUGGAAAACCUUGAAGAAGAGCGAGACCUUGAGGGAAAAAAAAUUUUUAAUAGGAUAUCCAGCCAAUUUAAACAAGGGUGAGGAACGAAAAUAAAGACAAGAAUAAAAGGAACCAAGCUAACAUUUCUCGCUAGAGUGAUCAAUCAACAGUCAACAUAUACCAAAGGUUCUGGGUUCGAACCCUAGGAGUAAAAAAAUCAUGAUGGGGAGCGCUUUCCUUUUUAAUGAGCUUUACACAGCGCGACCUCAAAUUAAUCGGGGAUUCCAAAAUGGAUACUGAACACCAUGAGGAAAACCAAAAAAAAAAAAAUCAACUUAUAGGAGUAACUUUUUUUUUAAUAGUAUUUCACAAUUCAUGCUGCCAACAAUCUCCAACAACUAAACAGAACUUUUAACAAAAAGCACAGUGGAGUUGAAUGCGGCUACAAUUAUUUUGAAUCUAAACGACGAACAACGAGCGCUCAGAAAUCACAAUAUUAAAACAGCUUUUGCAUUUUUCCACCCUUGCAGUUUAUAGUACGUUCACAAAAAAAAAAAAAAAAAUAAAAAAAAAAAAAAAAAAAAAAAAAAAAAAAACAAAAAGACUUGGAGGAAAUGAGAAGCCUCCUUUGGUUACAAGAAUAAGCGAGAUUCAUAGUCAGUGGAAAAUUUAAUUUACCUUUAAAAAUAUGAAAAAUCCAUCAAUCAGUAAUGCGACUUGUAGAAGACUACCUGGCUACCUAUAUGGGAGUUGUGGUAAUAGAUAAAGGGGGUUCGGCAAAGGUGAAAAGAAGGGGAAUUCUUGUAUUAAACAAAUACCAGUACAUGAUAAAUCUCACCUUAGAGUGCACGCUCGCCUUUUACACGGGACUCCUGGAUCACUAUGGUGGGCAUGGAUUUUAGGUUUAGAGCCAGUAAUAUGGAGAAAUCCGAAGAGAUCGCAUGAUCCCAUUGGACUCAAAUUGGGACACAGGAUCAAUGCGAUCCCUUUGGAAUACUCCACCAGCGCUAUGAAAUUGCAUAUAUAUUCACGUUAAAAGCUGGCCAACUAUAAUUUAUCGGGCACUUCAGUGGGAGUACUGAUAUAUGAUUCCAUCUGGUGAGGUUUUAUAUUUAUAGGAUUUUUGGAAACAAAGGAGAAUGCACGAACCUCGUGCAACCCUUUUGUUUGAAUGUUACUGUUCAUGCAAUUUUUGUGUGUUGUGGAAUCUAAGGUUGUUAGGCUAUUUUGGUAUCAACCCAUGUUCCUCUUCAUCUAAUCUGCUGCCUGUUACCUAUUUGGCCCUUGUGGAACAACCCAAACAG
rnacentral:lncRNA from 1 species